UGUUCCUACGGGACGCAACAGUGGGGGAUAUUGCACAAUGGGCGAAAGCCUGAUGCAGCGACGCCGCGUGAGGGAAGACGGUCUUCGGAUUGUAAACCUCUGUCUUUGGGGAAGAAGAUGACGGUACCCAAAGAGGAAGCUCCGGCUAACUACGUGCCAGCAGCCGCGGUAAUACGUAGGGAGCGAGCGUUGUCCGGAAUUACUGGGUGUAAAGGGAGCGUAGGCGGGGA
rnacentral:rRNA from 1 species